AAACUAACAUCAUUAGUGAACUCUUCAUCUUGUCUCUUGCCCCUCCUUUUCCUACUCUCUCUUCUUACUUUCAUUUAAGCAUUAGGAGGUUUUCGAUUUUCCGUGGAGCUGAUGGGUCCUAUAGAGUGACUGGUUCAACUAUUUCAUCGAGUGGUAGUAGAGAGGAGGGGAUAGAUAUCACGGUCACCUUAAACACUUGAACUGGUGAACAAGACAAAGUUAAACCUUGCCUCGGAGAACUGAAUUUUAUUUGAGGCUUAAAAAGCAAGGUUGAAUUGAGCUAUCACUGAGCUUUCUUGGCCUUCGAUUUGCGUUUCCAUUAUGUUUGGACCAAAGGUGUCAAUCCCAUACUGGCUAGCGUACCCUUUUCUCUGCUGUGAUGGUUUGUAUUGGGACUACUGUGUAUCUCAGAACCAUUUCAGAUUUACUGCUAUGAAUACUUCAUAUGUAUUCAAUAUGUUUAUGAAUAACCGCAAAACUUGGGAUAGAGAAAUGAAACAAGUUCUAACCUUUUAAUGUACCUCUACAUUGGUUCUAACAGCAAAUUAAUGUAUUUCAUAUAUAUGUUAGAAUCAUAAACCAUCAGAUACACAUACAUUGACUAGUUUAUACCCAAGCAAGUUCUAUGAUAGUUUUUCAGAAUCAUAAACUAUUGAUUAUUGAGGUUAGGACAAGACAAAUGUUUUGAGAUAAAAAUACCCAUGUACAUAUGGACUCCAAUUUUUUUGAAUUACCUUGAGCUCUAGUCUUUUUUUCCAAUGAAAAUGAAUAUCCUUGUCACUUAGUACCGGCCUUGUUGACUCCUUCCAAAAAACUCACUUUUAUUUUAGUUGAAAAUUCUGAAAUAUGACCGAAA